rnacentral:rRNA from 1 species
UACGGGGGGGGCAAGCGUUGUUCGGAAUUACUGGGCGUAAAGGGCUCGUAGGUGGCCAACUAAGUCGGACGUGAAAUCCCUCGGCUUAACCGGGGAACUGCGUCUGAUACUGGAUGGCUUGAGUUCGGGAGAGGGAUGCGGAAUUCCAGGUGUAGCGGUGAAAUGCGUAGAUAUCUGGAGGAACACCGGUGGCGAAGGCGGCAUCCUGGACCGACACUGACGCUGAGGAGCGAAAGCUAGGGGAGCGAACAGG